rnacentral:rRNA from 1 species
GUGACCUCGGUACAGGUAG